rnacentral:rRNA from 1 species
AUGCCACGUGCUGAUGGUCCCUUUAAGGUGUUAGAGAAAAUAAAUGAUAAUGCAUAUAAACUUGAGCUGCCUGCAGAUUUUGGGGUUAGUCCCACUUUUAACAUUGCAGAUUUGAAGCCUUAUUUGGGUGAGGAAGAUGAACUUCCGUCGAGGACGACUUUAUUUCAAGAAGGGGAGGAUGAUGAGGACAUCAAUACAAUUGUUACACCCACAGCCCCUGCUACUAUAAAUACUGGACCAAUUACUAGAGCUCGCGCACGCCAACUAAAUUACCAGGUACUUUCGUUUCUUGGUAAUGAUUCUAAUGUUCAUGAGAAUAUGAUGCUGCCUAAAUUAGAUACAUUUGUUUUGCUUACAAAUGAAGGGCCUAGCUUGGAGAAGGAUGAACAUUGGAUU